CCAGAGUCUUCAGCUUUCCCUCUCAAAGAAUAUAUCAACAUGUUAGAUCUGCUUAAACAUGGAUAUCUUUUUAUUUUAGAAAAUGUGUCUGUGUCACUUGAUGUUGAGGUGAAGAUAACUAAUAGAGAAUAUGAAGAAAGCUAUGCAAAUAAGAGCUCAGUCCAAUACCAGAAUCUGGAGAAUGAGUUUAAGGAGCAGGUAAAAAGUCAGUCACCCUGCAUCAUGUCAUAAAGGUUUCUGUCUGUCUGUCUACCCUCCCCCAUUGAACGGCUUUUGCCUGGUUAAUGAACCCAUUAUGGAUUUUUCUUUCCCUUCCAGAUGAGCAAAGUUUAUAAAGAUAUUCCUGGAUACAAAGGUGUGGAGAUUAUCAGCGUAAGGCGUGGCAGCAUCAUUGUAGACCACAAAAUCAUCAUUGAAGCUAAGGUACAUAACAUGACCGAGAGCAGCAUCGAUACAGUUCUCCAGAAUGUUUCAGAGACAGUGUUGCAGACAGUGGUUACCUUGAACGCCACCCAGGAGAACUGUUCAGAUGGCCCUGGUAAGUUUCAGGCAACAGUGUCCUCGUUCAAGGAGGUAUGUUCAUAUUAAUGUUUCCCAGCA
rnacentral:lncRNA from 1 species